GACAAUACCAGAUGUAUCAAUCAGACAGCAUCAUGUACAAGCUCUGGAACAACCACGUGUUCACAGCUACUCUUACGAAUCUCCGGACCACUUCAUUGAUACUGAGAAUUCUGGACAUUUACUGUCAAGGGAAGAAAGAAAUAAAUCGAAACAGUUUUCAUCCAUGAGAUUACCCAAAAAUCAACAACGCCC